rnacentral:SRP_RNA from 1 species
GCUGGGCAUGGUGGUGCAUGCCUGUGGUCCCAGCUACUUGGGAGGCUGAGAUGGGAGGAUCGCUUGAGCCCAGGAGGUGGAGGCUGCAGUGAGCUGUGAUGGCACCACUGCACUCUAGCCUGGGCAACAGAGUGAGACCCUGUCUCAC